UUUAAUUGAAGAGUUUGAUCAUGGCUCAGAUUGAACGCUGGCGGCAGGCUUAACACAUGCAAGUCGAGCGGAAACGAGAAAGUGCUUGCACUUUCGGCGUCGAGCGGCGGACGGGUGAGUAAUGCUUGGG
rnacentral:rRNA from 1 species